UACGAGGGGGGCGAGCGUUGUUCGGAAUUAUUGGGCGUAAAGGGUGCGUAGGCGGUUUGGUAAGUCUUAUGUGAAAUCUACAGGCUCAACUUGUAGUCUGCAUGAGAAACUGCCGGGCUUGAGUAUGGGAGAGGUGAGUGGAAUUCCUGGUGUAGCGGUGAAAUGCGUAGAUAUCAGGAGGAACGCCUGUGGCGAAAGCGGCUCACUGGACCAUAACUGACGCUGAUGCACGAAAGCUAGGGGAGCAAACAGG
rnacentral:rRNA from 1 species